CGUCCCACCCUGACGGUGCUGCCCCCCUCCAGUGAGGAGCUGCAGCAGGGGAAGGCCACGCUCAUGUGCCUGGCCAACAAGGGCUUCCCCUCAGACUGGAGUCUGGCCUGGAAGGUGGACGGCAGCAGCAGCAGCAGCAGCUGGGAGGAGAGCAGGAGCCCCGGGGUGCUGGAGAAGGACGGCCGCUACAGCUGGAGCAGCACCCUGAGGCUCCCUGCAGACCAGUGGAGGAAGGUGGGCUCUGUGACCUGUGAGGCCACCCAGGGCUCCCAGGCUCUGGUCUCAGAGACACUGAGGAGAGACCAGUGUUCCCAGUCCUGACCUGACUCACUGGGACUCUGUUACUGGUUUUACUCUGCUACUGCUCUCAGUCUGAAUUGAUCAAAGAUCUCUCCCUCUCUUUCUCUUUCCUUCCCUAACUCACUCUCUUAUUACAUGUUUCAUUGAUAAAUUUAGUUUUUGUUGUUGUCAUUUCAAUUGUUUCAUUAAAAUAAAGACGAGUUCAUCAAAGCUGUUGUUUUCAAUUCAUGUUAUGGUGAAAGUUACAGUUUUGCUGUUUUGAUAGUUCCAUUAAAUCCAGAAAGGUUAUAAAUGUACAAAUAUAUUUGAGAUUGUUUCUAUUGUUUGGAAAUGUCUUGAAAUUAUAAAAUAAUUUAAAGCAUGCGUAAUGCGUAAAAUACGUAAUAUUUUGAGAGCAAUUAAUCAGAUAAUCAUUAAUGUAACAUUAAUGCAACAAAGACAUUAUUUGUUCAAGAUUCCUUAAAGCUAGACCGUAGAAA